AGCUUUGCGCAGUGGCGAUAUCGUAACCAAUGAGUUUAUACCGAGGUGCGAUUAUUGCUAGUUGAAAACUAAAAAAAAAGCUAUUCUUCAGAUAUGCUGCAAAUAUUUACUCAUUUUCGACAAAAAAAAUUUUUU